rnacentral:rRNA from 1 species
AUUGAACGCUGGCGGUAUGCUUAACACAUGCAAGUCGAGCGGCAGCAUUUUCUAGCUUGCUAGAAAGAUGGCGAGUGGCGAACGGGUGAGUAACGCGUAGGAAUAUACCUUAAAGAGGGGGACAACUUGGGGAAACUCAAGCUAAUACCGCAUAAUUUCCUUGGAAAAAAGCUGGGGACCUUCGGGCCUGGCGCUUUAAGAUUAGCCUGCGUACGAUUAGCUAGUUGGUAGGGUAAAGGCCUACCAAGGCGACGAUCGUUAGCUGGUCUGAGAGGAUGACCAGCCACACUGGAACUGAGACACGGUCCAGACUCCUACGGGAGGCAGCAGUGGGGAAUAUUGGACAAUGGGGGCAACCCUGAUCCAGCAAUACCGCGUGUGUGAAGAAGGCCUGAGGGUUGUAAAGCACUUUCAGUGGGGAGGAGGGUACUUAGGUUAAGAGCUAGAGUACUGGACGUUACCCACAGAAGAAGCACCGGCUAACUCCGUGCCAGCAGCCGCCGUAA